UUAUAUUCUUUCCUAAUCAGAACUGAGAUUGGUUUUCCACACAAAUUUCUUUGGAAAAUCAAAGUGCUAGCUAAGAUAAAGAUGUUCUUCUGGUUGUUUGCUCGAAGGAGCAUUCUAACCAAAGAUAAUCAAAUUAAAAAAGGUUGGAAGGGGGGAAAGGAAUGUGUGUACUGUGGACAAGAUGAAAGCAUUGAUCAUCUAUUCUUUGAUUGUUCUGCGGCUAGACUGAUGUGGAGUCUAGUUAAAUGUGCUUUUGAUCUUAGAAUAACUCCAAAAAAUUCAAGUGAUUGCUUGAAUAUUUGGAUCAAAACCUUCAGAAAACUUGAAAAGAAUUUAGGCCUGGUUGGGAUUUCUGCGAUAUUCUGGUCUCUUUGGAAAUGUAGAAAUGAUAUUGUCUUUAGAGCAAAAAAGAUUCAUGAUCCCAUGACUUUUAUCACACUUUUGUGCAAUUGGGUUGCUGAAUGGUCUGUUUUGAAGAGAACAAAAACCAGAACAAAAACUACUGAUACUGGGAGCAAAGCCAAUCGAGCAGGUGGCAAGUGA
rnacentral:rRNA from 1 species